rfam:Ixodes scapularis strain Wikel colony gcontig_1108378304630, whole genome shotgun sequence.
GCGCGCGUGGCUUAACGGUUAUCGCUUUUGCCUUCCAAGCAGAAGGCCAGGGUUCGAUUCCUAGCCGCG